UUUUUUUCACCUUUCCUUCGAGAAGGGGGCCAAUGAUUCAUGGAUAACAUUGGGAAUGGAAAUUCUCACAGGGACCACUUCCAGCGGUGGGCAAACUUGAUUCACGAUUCAACUAAAAACAUUUGAGUAUCAGACCUUCCACAAGGCCAAUCGAUCUCUUCAUGAAAUUGUACCAUUGAGCAAAACAGACAGACGAGUCAAUCAGAUGUCAUAAAAAAUAUCAUUUAUUGAACAUGUGUCACUUAAACUAUAUUAUAUACACACACCUUAACCAUUGAAUUAAAAAAAAAAUCCAGUACUUUGCCUGGAAUUCCACAUCCCCCCCCCACGAACUCAUCUCCAUGGAAACAGUCUAGACAACCCAAUGGGCAUUGAAUGUCACCUUGUGUCAAUCACGUGAAGACCAACCUCCUCGGUCUCCUGCUCCUCUCACGGCAGAGCCAUGUGUCCCGUCAGGUUGACCUGGAAAACGCUCAGACAACAGUAACUGGACAGCACAAUGCUGUCCCCCACAAUGCAUCACAGUGUACUACGGUUGCCAGUCAUCGACAAUGCAGUGCAACAAUACCUGCCCGGCUUUACCUGGAUUUCACAAUCCGUGGACAGGGUGCGUUUGAUUCGUUCCUCGAGGCGGCGCCAUGAAGUGCUCAGGAGCGCUCCCUACUGGAGGGAGGGUGCGGGCACCACCCAGUGCGCCGCUGUGAGACAAAUAAAGCCCAACCAUGAAUUAUGCGACAUUGCAGUCAAUCACAUAACACGGGCUCAUGACAAAAAAGUAAAGGGGGGAGAAAAAAAAAGUACAAUCAUGUCAUGCAUUUACAACGAAAUGUCACACCUUGUUCUUUGCCCAUAUCGUAAAGUCACAGCUGGAAGCGAGGCCAGACCAGUAACGCAAGGCCACGCAGACCGGUUCAUUCCGGUUGCCAAUACAGCUCAAACGCUUCCUCAAAGUCCCGCUGUUGGAAGGCAAGGCAGCCGUCCUCGUCGCAGUCCUGUGGAGCACACACCGUGGGUGAUGAAAGAGAGCCACUGCACGCGUCUGCUGACGUGUCGCGCGGAACCGCCUGCGCGUCGUCGGUCGCCAUGUCCUCGUAGACAUUACCCAUCAGGUACUGCGUGGUGUUUUCCGGCGCCAUUGCCCCCGACGGUUGGCGGUGCGCGCAGGCCGCAACGCGCCCUUCCUCGCGCGCGGACUCCAUUUUGGCCUUCCCGCCGAUGCCUCCCAGGAGUUCAGCCAGAUCAGCCAGCCGCGGCCGCCUCGGCGCCCGCCCAAGACUGGACCAAAGUGGCGGAUCGACCGAACAGACUGACCUACUCUGCAAUCCCCAAUGCCGGGCUGUCAACAUAUAUUAUCA
ensembl:lncRNA